AACGUCGCUGGCGGACGCUAACACCUGCAGGUUAAACGAAGUAGCAAGUACUUAGUCGGCAGACGGGUGAGUAACAUGUGGGUAUCUUGCCCUUCGAGCCGUGGAAUAACACGAGGAAACUUGUGCUAAUACCGGAUAAGUCUUCACGGAGAAAGCUUUAUGCACCAUUGGAUGAGCCUGCACUUGAUUAGUUUGUUGGUAGGGUAAUGGCCUACCAAGACUUUGAUCAAUAGCUGAUUUGAGAGGAUGAUCAGCCACAUUGGCGACUGAGACACGGCCCAAACUCCUACGGGAGGCAGCAGUGGGGAAUCUUGCACAAUGGAGGAAACUCUGAUGCAGCGAUGCCGCGUGAGUGAAGAAGGCCUUUGGGUUGUAAAGCUCUUUCGUCGGGGAAGAAAAUGACUGUACCCGAAUAAGAAUGGUCCGGCUAACUUCGUGCCAGCAGCCGCGGUAAUACGAAGGGACCUAGCGUAGUUCGGAAUUACUGGGCUUAAAAGAGUUCAGUAGGUAGUUAGAAAAAGUUGGUGGUGAAAUCCCAGAGCUUAACUCUGGAACUGCACAUCAAAACUUUUCAGCUAGAGUAUGAUAGAGGAAAGCCAGAAUUACUACUGUAGAGGUGAAAAUUCGUA
rnacentral:rRNA from 1 species